AAAAGAGAGUUCAAUGGAGAUUUAAAAAGAAAGUUAUGAUUUCUUACGUCGAACUCAAAAUGCUUUCAAAGUUUAAUAAAACAAGAUAAAGUUUAACUUACAAUAUUAUUCUGCUGAGACAGGCAAACCCAGAACUGUCAACUAUCCACAGACCUGCAGCAUUAACUCCUUAACUCCGAGUGCAAGACAUGAUGUUAUGAUGUGGAAUACUGAUAACAAAAAUCAUAAAACCAUAACAAACUAAAAUCACAAGAUUAGACCACAUAGUAAUGUACAAUUGCAACAAAACCUCACAUAUACUGUGCAGUGACAAGUGAAAAUAAUUGGUCACCAUGAUACAACAAUCCCAGGGCCACUAGGGCCCUGACUCAGCAACAUAUCUGGGAACCUGACAAUACUGAUUUGCGACAUCCAACUCCAUGAUGAAAUCAAUGGGAAUUGCCUGAUGCUCGAGGCUUUUUUAAAAUCAAGCCGUCAAUCCAGGGGCAUGGAUAUUGAUGUAAAAAUCAAGCUUCAGGCACCUGUUUUUUUAAAAAAACUUGAUCCUGGGAGGCCAGCACAGCAGUAUUAAAGGUCAUGUGAAAACUAAAGAACAUUUGUAAGAAUACUGUAUGGGGCAAGUUGUAGGGAAUUACAAGCCUCAAAGCAGAUUCCCUCUGGAAUUCAUUUAUUUGUGGUUCAUGCUAUUAGUACAAACACUUGAUGCAACACCAAAUGCAACUUUGAAAAUAAUGACAUUUCUUGUUUGAUGUUAGGAAGUUACCGUUGAUUUUUUAUUUUCUCCUGUUGUCAGCUUCAAUGAGCACUCUUGACUGCAGUCUAAACCAAGCAAGAGCUUAUCUAGGCAUUGUGCUGGUGAUAUACUACACGGAAAUGGUAAUAUAAAAAUUGAAAGUGCAGUGAUAUCAUAGAACAAAUCCUGUAAAAGAGAUGGCUCCUGGUACUAAAGACAAACUUAUUGGAAUAUUUGCUGCAUACAUGUGUGAGUGGGAUUUUUUUCCUUUGACGUGAGUUACACACUCAUUUGUUCCUGCCAAGUUCCUGAAGGCGUAAGAAAUGUUUGCAGUAAGAAGCUAGCUGGCCUUACAAAGAAAAGGAUCUUCUGGGCAGCGAGAAAGAAAUCAGGAUUUAUUUGAAUGCUGAUGAAAUCUGGGAAAUUGAAGCAGCACAUUUCUGUAUAGUUCUGUCUGGAUUUCAGAACGUCCUCCCGUUGCCCAGAGAAGCGGUGGAUGCCCCGUCCUUGGAGACACUCAAGGCCAGGCUGGACCUGGCUCUGAGCAAUUUGAUGUUCCUGCAGUUGUCCCUGUUCACUGAAGGGGAGUUGGGCUACAUGAGUAGAGUCCUUGGAAUCAGGAGGGGGAACAGCAAAACUGCUACCGUGGACUUCCGGAGGGCACACUUUGAAUUGUUCAGAAGACCAGUAGGGGGAGUCCCCUGGGAUUCAGUCUCAGAGAGUAAAGGGGUACAAGAUGGCUGGUUGCUCUUCAAGAAGGAAGUCUUAAAGGCACAGGAGCAGGAUGUGCCCCUGAGCCAUAAAAUGAGCUGGCGCAGAAGAAGACUGUCGUGGAUGAAUAGGGAGCUAUUCCUGAGGGUCCAGGUGAAAAAGAGAAUCUACCUCCUGUGGAAGAAGGGAUGGGCAACUCAGAAAGAAUACAAAGAAGUUGUUCAGAUGUGCAGGGAGAAAAUCAGAAAGGCAAAGGCCCAGCUUGAACUCAACCUGACUGCUGGGGUAAAAAGGAACAAGAAGCUCUUUUACAAAUAUAUCAACAGCAAGAGGAUGACCAGGGAGUAUCUCCAUUCUUUACUGGAUGAGGCUGAGAAUGUGACCACUGAGGAUAAGAAAAAGACAGAGGUUCUGAAUGCCUUCUUUACAUCUGUCUUUAAAAGUCAGACCAGUUAUCCUCAGGGUACUCCACUCUCUGAUCUGGAAAACCAGAAGCUUGGCUUUCUGCCACAUUUUCCCUGUAGGCUUUAUUUUUGGGAAAUAGCAAGGAAUAGCAGUUGCUCAUUACGAUGUGUAUUGAGGUGUUAUGCUCUCUGUAUUUAGAUGUGAGAUGUUGUCCUAUGUUGGAUGCGUCAUUGAGAGGACAAAGGGAUCUACAUAAAGAGAUCUAAGUUUAUUAAUAGCUUUACAAGUUCUUUGGCUCCAGUGGUU
ensembl:lncRNA